UACGAAGGGGGCUAGCGUUGUUCGGAGUUACUGGGCGUAAAGGGCGCGUAGGCGGCCGAUCAAGUCGGGUGUGAAAGCCCGGGGCUCAACCCCGGAUGUGCAUUCGAGACUGAUUGGCUUGAGGACGGGAGAGGAUGGUGGAAUUCCCAGUGUAGAGGUGAAAUUCGUAGAUAUUGGGAAGAACACCGGUGGCGAAGGCGGCCAUCUGGACCGUUUCUGACGCUGAGGCGCGAAAGCGUGGGGAGCAAACAGGAUUAGAUACCCUGGUAGUCCACGCCGUAAACGAUGAGUGCUAGACGUUGGGGAGCCUAGCUCUUCGGUGUCGCAGCUAACGCAUUAAGCACUCCGCCUGGGGAGUACGGCCGCAAGGUUAAAACUCAAAG
rnacentral:rRNA from 1 species